CUCUUCCAUCCCGGUACAAAAAGUUGCCCGCCGGCCCCUCCCCAGAAAGAUGGCUCUGAGCGCCUGGCUUCCCGGGAAGGCGUCUGGGCUGCUGCAGUCCCCCUGCCGUGAGGGCUUCAGGGCCUCCGAGGACACAUGCCGACGGUACCCAGCAGCUUCCUGGAGCAGCUCCCUGGCAGCUGGAAGGCUGGGCAGACUCCCACGCGGUCCAGUCCCCACGCGCCCCCUGCCUUCCCUGGGUCCUGGAGCAGGGAGCUCACAGCACAGAGGAUGAGACAGCGGUCUGUUGUCCCAGCGCAUGGCAGCACCACGCAGCUCUGUUAUCUCAGUUUCUGGGGGUCGGGGAUGGAGCCAAGACCAGCAGGGCCUUCGGCCUCGAGGUCUCGCGAGGCUGCACCUGGGUGUCGGUAGGGACUGUGGCCUGUGCACAGGCUCCACCUGGAGGGUCCAGGCACACUCACGUUGGCAGGAUUCGGUUCCUCACAAGCUACUGGGGGAGCGUCAUCCUUUUCUGCAUUUUGCUGGAGGGCUCACUCCGUUUUUGGCCACAUGGGCCUCUUCAGAGCGCACCUCCCCGGGG
ensembl:lncRNA